rnacentral:lncRNA from 1 species
GAGAAUGAGGCGCUUAAAUAGGCUCCAAGUCCCGAAUUUAGGGUUUUCCUCGCACAGACCAGACUCGCCGAGUCCAUUUGGCCGACUCGCCGAGUUGGUCACUUACACCUCGACCCGGAUCCCGCUCAGACUCGCUGAGUUCCUCCUUGGACUCGCCGAGUCGCCCCUAUGAAUUAGGGUUUUCUUCCUUUCUUGGCCCUCAAAAAUUUGGGUGAUACAACUCUCCCCCACUUAAACUAAACUUCGUCCUCGAAGUUUGCUAUGGCACAUCGCCUGCGAUCUGCCUCCAAUACCCCAUCAAUGAUUCCCACACCAGCUGCCUACCUUCGCUGGUCUUCCGCCUGGUCAUUCUGACUAGCAUCAAUCCUUGCGGAUAAUCAUCUCGGGUCAGCCCUGACCCUGAACAUUCUGGAAACACAACUUACUCCACCGACAAUCCAUAUGGUACUCUCCGAGUACUGCAACUGAACCUAUAGGGGUUCACCCCUUCUUUCCUCACGCAGUUCCUUUGCCUUCCCAAGGCGAUGCUCCAAAAGCAACUAUCUCCUCUGACACCGUGAAGAUCUUAUCUUCACCAAUCCAGUAUUCCCGCUAAAACCAGUACGGGUCAUCACCGCCAGUAACCACUGACACUCCUCGCUUGUCAUAACUUGGUGUCGAGCACCCCUCGACUCGACUAUCUGAAUUCCACCAUAAACCGCUUACCCGCACUACUACUGACUGGAAACUUCUGCCAUUCCUCAUCUGCCUUCCGGAUGAACUGAGACCACUCUGGUCCUUACCAACCUAUCAAUGUCUGGAUUACCGGCUCCCACCGGUAGCUAGUACCAACACCACCACUAGUCGCUCCCAACAACUUCCAAAGAAACUUUGACCACCUAUAACUGCUCAAUCAAUUAUGCCAUUCAGGCACUACAACCCUGGGAUCCCCGAUCCCCUAACUUGACACUAAGGUCGCUACCAGGUCCCACCUGUGCUGCUAAAACUCACGGGCCUCGCCCACGGGUCCCACCCGCCUCUAUCCUUCUAGUCCCACUAGUCUAAUCACUCUCGCUCGGGCCUCGCCCACGGUCUCACCCAACCAUACUACUGAGCAACCCUGCUCCCAGGUCUCAUCUACACCGCUAAUCUCAUACGGGCCUCGCCCCAACUCCGCUAACGAAGCUACUAAGGAAUGCUACGGCUUACCCAUAGUCUUACAUCACCAUCCAUUGCUGACUGCUAGUGAAUUCAAGAUCCUCAUUUCGACUCCCUCGAGUCCUACGGGCGAUCCACAACUUGAAUUCCCAACCACGCACUAAUCAUUACCAUCACACACACUAGCUGAUGGGGAGUUUCUCAAACUCCCAACCCUGAAAUCCUCAAUCCAUCAAACUCUAAACUACUUCCUUUCCUUCUCAGAGGUCGCACACUCAUCCUGGAUCUGCGUGCUCCUACCUUUGCACACUCGGAGGAUUCUCCCCCACUCCGAUCCUACUUACCCUAUUGUUACUCAAUACUCAAAAAGAAAUCCCAAUCCUUGCUACCAUUCCAUAAUCAAUCUGCCGAGGAACCCAAGCUUACCAUAGCUAGGGAUCUAACUAAUCCAUCUCUAACACUAUACAACUCCGAUCUAGCGAGACAUACCAAGUCCCUCCCAAGCAUGCUACAGUUACUGCAUCCUAUGUAACCUUCUCCAAUAGGGCACAUCCCCUCACUACCAUUCGAAUAUCCAAGGUAUGCAGAUGGCAUAUAACUCGAUCACAAUCAACCGCUCAAAAAUAAAAUACUCAUACCGAUAAUGAUGCAGAACCAUAACAAUAUAAUCAUGCACAAAUAAAAGAACUGAAAACAGAAAUCGCAUACCUGCAACGUCCGGUGCUGAUCGCGCCUCUAAGGUAGUCAUCU